rnacentral:rRNA from 1 species
GACGAACGCUGGCGGCGUGCUUAACACAUGCAAGUCGAACGGAAAGGCCCUGCUUUUGUGGGGUGCUCGAGUGGCGAACGGUUGAGUAACACGUGAGUAACCUGCCCUUGACUUUGGGAUAACUUCAGGAAACUGGGGCUAAUACCGGAUAGGAGCUCCUGCUGCAUGGUGGGGGUUGGAAAGUUUCGGCGGUUGGGGAUGGACUCGCGGCUUAUCAGCUUGUUGGUGGGGUAGUGGCUUACCAAGGCUUUGACGGGUAGCCGGCCUGAGAGGGUGACCGGCCACAUUGGGACUGAGAUACGGCCAAGACUCCUACGGGAGGAAGCAGUGGGGAAUAGUGCACAAUGGGCGGAAGCCUGAUGCAGCAACGCCGCGUGCGGGAUGACGGCCUUCGGGUUGUAAACCGCUUUCGCCUGUGACGAAGCGUGAGUGACGGUAAUGGGUAAAGAAGCACCGGCUAACUACGUG